rfam:Candidatus Kaiserbacteria bacterium RIFOXYD1_FTLL_47_14 rifoxyd1_full_scaffold_167, whole genome shotgun sequence.
GCUGGGAUGGCGAAAUUGGUAGACGCACGAGCCCUAGGAGCUCGCGGGGCAACCCAUGGAGGUUCGAGUCCUCUUCCCAGCA